GCAUGCACGAGUAAGUAAAAGAGCGGAAUGCACGCUGGCUAUUGGCAUCGUGCGUAUUGCGUAAACAGUGGGUCUUAAUAGACGCCUGUGCACGAGCAUCUUGCUAUGAUAAAACGGGCAUGCAUUCGCAUUGCGUCAUGUGAAAAGUAACAACUGCUAGACGGCCUUGGGUACAGCACAUUGUGAUAAUGCACUUAUUGAAAAUAAAGGAGCCAGAUAUACAAGCUUUGACAGUUGAAGAAUAUUUCUCCUGAAAGCUAACGAGGAAAUCGAGUGACAUAUGCGCCACUUUCCUGCUAAGAUAAACAUAGAAGUAUGUUUAAUCUACGUGUCGUUAUUUUUGCAGAUUGGAGUAUCCGCAGGCUUAUUGGAGUGCAUAGCACAACGAUAAUAUCGACAAAAGUGUCAUGGAUACUAAUAACCUAACCUAGACAAACUUAUCUAGCUAUCUAACAUCGAAAAUCGAUCUCGUUGUAUCAGGUUGUAGAUAUAAUUAUAUUUGACACCUAUUAUUUACUUAAAGGAGGCUAUACAUUUGUAGGAAGAUACAAAGAUCUAUAGAAUGCGCCUAAUAAGCAAUAGCAUAUGAAAUAUCCAAAGAAUUGUACUCGUUAUAAUUAGACUCUGGAUGUUUAUGCAAAGAAUGCAUAUAAUAUAAAAAAAUAUAUGAAAUAUUCAAAACACUACUUGUGUUCAUAAAAAUAUAAAUUUGCACAAGCAUCCGCAGUCCAAUUAUAAACAUAUAUAGGAUGUCAGUUGCAUUCAUAAGAAUAUAGAUUUGCGUGAUACAUCCGCGGUUCACUAAUAGUUACUAUAAAAUAGGUAGGUAGCCAUUAUAAAAUGGUAUAAUUUAUUUUAUAGUAUAAUUUCUAAUUUAUUUUAUAGGUUUAAUAAUCACGUAGAUAGUGCACGGUAUACAACGUUCGUUUAUUUGAAUUGUAAUCAUACAAGUGCAUAACAAAUAUAUUGUGCAACCAGGUUGAUCCUGUAGAAUGAAGUUGUAGCGGUGUUUCAACAUCGACUUAUGACUUCAUUGAUUCCUCCGACACGUUCGACGGAACGUUAUGAACGACGAUCCCGAAGAAACGCUCGUGGGCCAACAAACAGCUCGACUACGUUAUUAUACUUAAUCGCGGUGUGCGCCCGAAGCGCGACGUUCUCGCGAUUGCUGGAAUGCCGUCCGAUCACUUGUACCCGGUCUAUCAAGGCCGUUGGGAAAUGAAAAUCGUUUCUUUCUGGUCGACUUAUGGAAUCCAAAACAUGUGGGACAUUAAGAAUUUACGUGGACGGGGGAAAAGGCAUCGAUGGUAGGUAAACACAGGUCGGUAUAAAAAUAGAGUGCAUGUGAAGAUACAACCUGGUUCCACUGCGAUAUAACAGUUAGCGAUAAAAUCAAAUUGCACAAAUGUGCACCAAAUCGUACUUGCCGGUGAAUUGGGUCGUUCGCUUAUAGAUCGGUCGGUAAUUUACCUACGUUCCAUAACUGCAUAAGCAGUUAUUAAAUAUUUUAUUAAAUAUUGGAAUAUUCGCUACUACGCUGUUGAAUUCCGGAUUGUAGAGACCGAGUACAACAUGUUAUAAUCUUUUAAAAACUUUUUUCAAUAAAAUGCGACAAAAUCGCACCUUCGUACCUUGAGAGUUUCGGACAAAAAUAAUCAUAUUCUACUGUUUUCGCAAAUAUUUAGAAGGUGAUCCGUAAUUCAUGGGUAGAGAGAUUCUAUGACUUAAAAUAAGAGGAAAAUCAAGAAUAACAUAAUUACGCUGGUUUUGUUUCUGAGAAAAUCGAUGACUCCACUUGUACCAUGAAUACAAUACCAUAUACAGGAUGACCAUCCUGUAUAUGGUUGGGAAAAUAGCUAGGAAAAUGGUGUGAAAAAUACCGUAAGUGAGAGGAACCAAGACAAAGGUACAGAUUUUGUGUGAUUAAAUUUACGGUUUUGAUGAUUCGUCGUAGUGAAUUACCGUUUAUAUAAAUAUAGAAAUGAGUGUCGCUGUUAAUGACAUACUGAUGACAUCAUUGCAGAUUGUCUCAACAAACUGGCAAUACAUUUUAGUACUUAUACAUUAUACUGUUUAUAGUAUACUACUGCAACAAUACUCUUUAGUAUUUUACUUAUUAAUAUUUACUAUGAUUAUUUCCAUAUUUCCCGUUCCAUUUCAUUUGAAAGGAAGUUACAAAAUGAGAAUUUCGAUAUAAAGGAUAAAAUAUCACGGCUGUCUUUGCUAAUGCGAAGGUCUUUAAAGGAGAGAUUAAGUAAAAGAGUUAAAUGGUACCAGAAGACGAUUUACCUUCAUGACCACUCUCAUUUACAUACGGAAGUUAUCUAUUUCUCUAAGCGCGAGCAUCGAACCAUUACGUUCCAUUUAAUUAACAAUGUGGCAGACAAGCUUCCACCUCGAAGCGCCUCGUAGAUCGAUGUUAACCACACGUUAGAAUCAAUCAUCGCGCGUUCACCGGUGAAACGAUUAGCUUACGAUGAGUAAACAAAUGUUUGAACGAUGCGCAUUACACGGCAGAGCAAAUACGCUGCUUCCUGUCGCGUAAUUUGUAGUCGUGACGCUCGCUUCGUAUAUGUAACGAUCGACGCGAUCACUCGAUAAUAACAGAUUCAAGAAUAUUUGCAUAAUACCUACCAGAGUACACGUUAACCACUUCGUUGUACCUUUUAUCAAUUUUGCCAUCUAAUAUAUUAUGAGAACGUCGUCGUUACAAACUAGUGCGAAUGUUCUACAGGAUAGAUCAGUUUGAUAGAAGAGUGACUAUCGUAGAUGAUGUAGCAUUAUCAGUCAUGCUUACGAUCCCGUCACGAGAAGCGCACAACAUAGCAACAUAACAAUUUUGUAAUUUUGUUUAUUUUCUUUUAGAUCUACGAUGAAAACUUGCAUGAUACUUAUUUAUCACAGAUUUGUGGCAAACUGAAGAAAAGGAAGGCUAAAUCUAAAGGCUUUCUACAUUUUUCUACGUUAAACAUGACCAAUUCCAGCCACCGUUUCACGUCACGACGUUAGGAUACGGUUACCCUUGCUCGCGAUACAGAUCAUUUCACUUAACGCGUUUCAACCACUCCUCGAGCGUGCCGUAGCUAGUGAUGGGAUCUGAAACACUUCAAAUCGUAUCGCAUCUGUAUAUUCGAAUCACUUCAAACAUGAUUCUAAGCUUGAAACCCUUGAUCGUGUAGAAGGUCUUGAAUCUUUAAAGUCUUGGCAGUCUUAGGAGUCUUGAUCACCAUCAAAGCCUCGAUUGUCUAGGAAGUGUUGAAAAUCGUGAUCAUUUUAGAAGCCUUGAUCGUAUCAGAAGUCUCAGUCAUCUUGUGAAAUAAAUGUAUGUAUGAUAAUUUGAUCUUUCCAAGCGUUUUAUAAACACUCGCUGUAGAUUGCAAAACUGAAACUAACAGUUUCAAAACGAUCAAGACUUUUGAGACUUUAAAGACUCAAACUUAUCAAGAUCUACAAAAGAACUUCAAACUUCGAAUCAUGUUCCAAACGAUUCGAAUUUGUCGCCUCAUGCACAAUACAAAUUCGAAGCGAUUCGAAGUGUUUCCAAGUCCCAUCACUAGAGCCGCAAUUCGUGCCUAAUAACUGGGCGAACACGACAACAAAUUGAAGGAGCCAACAUCCAAACGCACAGCAUGAUCUUUGGACGACUAUUAUCUUCGUGUCUGUAUUUCGCUACAAUUUCAUCGACACGUCCGUUAACCCAGGUACACACAUUGACUGUCGAAUUUCCAACCAGCCAAAUUGCAUACGAUCACGUUAUAAGCGUCCAGAGUAUCAGCGUAUGGUGUAUGAAUAAUGAAUGAGCCUCGGACUGCAUAGUAAGACUGAGAAUACGGUCUUAUACGGUACUGUUACAUCCAGCGAAAAGGUGGGGUUGCACAGUUAAAACUCGUGCAACGAGACAGCCGGCCAAUAAGCAGGCAUAAAGACGACGGCGUUAAAUAACCGGUACUCGUCCUAUCGGCCGAUUGCUUUUUGUUGUAGGCCAUGGCACGUCAGCUUGAGGCUCGAGCACCACUCUGUCGACCAGCGAAACGGCUAAUGUUCUUGUUUUUUUUUUUUCUUGCCUUCUUUCUGUUUUCAUUCUUCUUCUCCUUCGCGUUCUUCUUCUUCGCCUUGUUCCUUUUUGCCUGAUUCUUUUAUUCUUUGCCGAGUUCGAUCGAAUCGAGAAAGAUCGAAAGGACGCGUUCGAUGGAAACAAUUUUUUAACAAAGGACUCGAUCGUGAAUCGUAAGAAAAGUAUGUUUUGUAACAAGAUGAAAUUGUAAUGUCUAAUUUAGACAUAUUGUAUAUUGUACAAUAUCUAUGUUUUAGGUCAGGUUUCUGUAUAAGAAGAAAAUAGUCACUAGUCAUUAGGAAAUGUACCACACACCUGCCUCACCAAGUAGCUACAUAUUCUGAGAUAACACAAGCAAUUUGCAUCACACUGAAGCUAAGAAUUUUUGGUACCAUCUUGUAACCAAA